rnacentral:rRNA from 1 species
UACGUAGGGGCCUAGCGUUGUCCGGAAUUAUUGGGCGUAAAGAGCUCGUAGGCGGUUCGGCAAGUCGGAUGUGAAAUCUCCACGCUUAACGUGGAGGGGCCAUUCGAAACUGCUGUGACUCGAGUCCGGUAGGGGAGUGUGGAAUUCCCGGUGUAGCGGUGAAAUGCGCAGAUAUCGGGAGGAACACCAGUAGCGAAGGCGGCGAUCUGGGAAGAUACUGACGCUGAGGUGCGAAAGCGUGGGGAGCAAACAGG